AUUGAACGCUGGCGGCAUGCCUUACACAUGCAAGUCGAACGGCAGCACGGGAGCAAUCCUGGUGGCGAGUGGCGAACGGGUGAGUAAUAUAUCGGAACGUGCCCGGUCGUGGGGAUAACGUAGCGAAAGCUACGCUAAUACCGCAUACGAUCUACGGAUGAAAGCGGGGGAUCGCAAGACCUCGCGCGAUUGGAGCGGCCGAUAUCAGAUUAGGUAGUUGGUGAGGUAAAGGCUCACCAAGCCGACGAUCUGUAGCUGGUCUGAGAGGACGACCAGCCACACUGGGACUGAGACACGGCCCAGACUCCUACGGGAGGCAGCAGUGGGGAAUUUUGGACAAUGGGCGCAAGCCUGAUCCAGCAAUGCCGCGUGCAGGAUGAAGGCCUCGGUUGUAACGUAG
rnacentral:rRNA from 1 species